GUAAAGGAGGAGCGAAAACUUAUACCCGGGACCGGCUGGCUAUCAUAAAAAUGGUUCUCAAGGCCAACGCUGUUUACAUAAAUCUCUUUAAUCCUAUUGCUGCUGUUCUCAUCCAAAGUAUUGUUUGUCCGAGUUUCCCAUUUUUCAGAAACCAAAGAGAAGAACGGUUAGGGAGUUUAUGAAGAUGAAGGAUAUCAACCUGGUAGGCACCUAGUGCAAGUCCUAGUAAAGGCAAGCCAGUGCCACCAUGUCAGCCCAGGGCCAGGGGUUGUCGCGGCGGGGUAAGUUUCAGGCUGGGGCCAGUCUUUCUCGAAAUUGGAAACAUUUGCAAGCCGGCCCAGACUGAACUAGGAGUAGAAUACUAAAGCGGAGGGGCGGAGUCCAUGAACGUUUAGAGUGGUCACACCUGACCCUUCUCAAAUUUGGCAUAUCUUAUAGUUAUCUCUAUGGUUGUUCUGCUUCUCUUUUCUUUAUUGGCCAUGGCUAUUUUACUUAUUGUACGAUCAUGUGGCUCAAUUCAUUAAGGCAUUAGAAGGUUAAGAUUGCUAGUUAUGAACUCCAAUUGGUAGAGCAGAACAUAUUCAAAUGCAUCGAUUGCAUCGUUAUGGACUGAGCCAGCUGCGUCUGGCAAAUUAUAAAUUCA